ACUAAAUUAAGCAAAUUGAGGCCCUAAUCAAGACAAUUACUCUUGCAUGUUGGUAGAUUUCGGAUCAUCUAAGCUUAAUACACCAUAAGGGAUCAAACAAGAAAGCUCGAGUCACUCCGGAUCACAUACAAACAACGACAAAGGUAAAGCGACUUGUUAAAUGGCGUUACUUGGAUCGAACACAUUCAUGAUGCACGCUUCCGUGAAGAAACUAGUUUUAGUCAAAAUUUUUGUUAAAUGCUUUCCUUUCUGUUCCAAACGGGUCUUUGUAAGUUUUAUGAUCCGAAAGUAGUAAAUGUUGAACUUGUA